rnacentral:tRNA from 1 species
UGGAGUACAGCUCAGUGGUACAGUAUGUGUUUGGCAUGCAUGAGGUUCUGGGUUCAAUCCCCAGUGCCUCUA